rnacentral:rRNA from 1 species
UACGUAGGGUGCAAGCGUUAAUCGGAAUUACUGGGCGUAAAGCGUGCGCAGGCGGCUUUGCAAGACAGAUGUGAAAUCCCCGGGCUCAACCUGGGAACUGCAUUUGUGACUGCAUGGCUAGAGUGCGGCGGAGGGGGAUGGAAUUCCGCGUGUAGCAGUGAAAUGCGUAGAUAUGCGGAGGAACACCGAUGGCGAAGGCAAUCCCCUGGGCCUGCACUGACGCUCAUGCACGAAAGCGUGGGGAGCAAACAGG